rnacentral:rRNA from 1 species
AGAGUUUGAUCAUGGCUCAGAUUGAACGCUGGCGGCAUGGCUAAGACAUGCAAGUCGAACGCGAAAGUACCUUCGGGUGCGAGUAGAGUGGCGAAAGGGCGAGGAAUACGUUCCUACGUACCCCGAGGUCAGGGAUAGCCCAUGGAAACAUGGAUUAAUACCUGAUGUGGUCUCCGGAUCAAAGAUUUAUCGCCUUGGGAGCGGGGAACGUCCUAUCAGGUUGUUGGUGAGGUAACGGCUCACCAAGCCGAAGACGGGUAGCGGGUGUGAGAGCAUGACCCGCCGCAUCGGGACUGAGACACUGCCCGGACUCCUACGGGAGGCUGCAGUAACGAAUAUUCCGCAAUGCGCGAAAGCGUGACGGAGCAAUGCCGCGUGCAGGAUGAAGCCCCUCGGGGUGUAAACUGCUGUCAGGGUUUAGGAAGCAAGUGACCAAACCCAAAGGAAGGGCCGGCUAACUUCGUGCCAGCAGCCGCGGUAAUACGAAGGGCCCGAGCGUUAUUCGGAAUCACUGGGCUUAAAGCGUACGCAGGCUGGUAUGCAGGCAUCUUGUGAAAUCCCUCCGCUCAACGGAGGAACUGCAGGGUGAACCGCAUACCUUGAGACAGGUAGGGGUUGUCGGAACGCUA